AUACUUAUCUGGCAGGCAGAUAACUACAACCAAGAUGGUGGUUUCCCCAGGGUUAGACUCUUCCAUUUCACACUUCGGGUUGUUCCUGUCAUUUCCACAAAGGUCAGAAACUCGGCUACAUAAUUUAUGGUUUUAAGCUAACAAACAAAUCUGCUUA